UACAGAGGGGGCAAGCGUUGUUCGGAAUUACUGGGCGUAAAGGGCGCGUAGGCGGCCUUCUAAGUCGAACGUGGAAUCCCCGGGCUCAACCCGGGAACUGCGUCCGAUACUGGAAGGCUUGAAUCCGGGAGAGGGAUGUGGAAUUCCAGGUGUAGCGGUGAAAUGCGUAGAUAUCUGGAGGAACACCGGUGGCGAAGGCGACAUCCUGGACCGGUAUUGACGCUGAGGCGCGAAAGCCAGGGGAGCAAACGGG
rnacentral:rRNA from 1 species